rnacentral:rRNA from 1 species
GACGAACGCUGGCGGCGUGCUUAACACAUGCAAGUCGAACGAUGAUCAGGAGCUUGCUCCUGUGAUUAGUGGCGAACGGGUGAGUAACACGUGAGUAACCUGCCCCUGACUCUGGGAUAAGCGUUGGAAACGACGUCUAAUACUGGAUACGACUGCCGGCCGCACGGUCUGGUGGUGGAAGGAUUUUUUGGUUGGGGAUGGACUCGCGGCCUAUCAGCUUGUUGGUGAGGUAAUGGCUCGCCAAGGCGACGGCGGGUAGCCGGCCUGAGAGGGUGACCGGCCACACUGGGACUGAGACACGGCCCAGACUCCUACGGGAGGCAGCAGUGGGGAAUAUUGCACAAUGGGCGAAAGCCUGAUGCAGCAACGCCGCGUGAGGGAUGACGGCCUUCGGGUUGUAAACCUCUUUUAGUAGGGAAGAAGCGAAAGUGACGGUACCUGCAGAAAAAGCACCGGCUAACUACGUGCCAGCCGCCGCCGUAA